rnacentral:rRNA from 1 species
CACGUAGGGGGCGAGCGUUGUCCGGAUUUAUUGGGCGUAAAGAGCUCGUAGGCGGCUCAGUAAGUCGGGUGUGAAAACUCCAGGCUCAACCUGGAGACGCCACCUGAUACUGCUGUGGCUAGAGUCCGGUAGGGGAGCAUGGAAUUCCUGGUGUAGCGGUGAAAUGCGCAGAUAUCAGGAGGAACACCAGUGGCGAAGGCGGGUCUCUGGGCAGUAACUGACGCUGAGGAGCGAAAGCGUGGGGAGCGAACAGG